UACGUAGGUGACCAGCGUUGUCCGGAUUUACUGGGCGUAAAGAGCGCGCAGGCGGUCGGAUAAGUCGAAUGUGAAAGCCCCCGGCUCAACUGGGGAGGGUCAUUCGAUACUGUUCGACUCGAAGGCAGGAGAGGGAAGUGGAAUUCCCGGUGUAGUGGUGAAAUGCGUAGAUAUCGGGAGGAACACCAGUGGCGAAGGCGACUUCCUGGCCUGUUCUUGACGCUGAGGCGCGAAAGCUAGGGGAGCAAACGGG
rnacentral:rRNA from 1 species